rnacentral:rRNA from 1 species
GGUUGUCGUCAGCUCGUGUCGUGAGAUGUUGGGUUAAGUCCCGCAACGAGCCGCAACCCCUAUUGUUAGUUGCCAUUCAUUCAGUUGGGCACUCUAGCGAGACUGCCGGUAAUAAACCGGAGGAAGUGGGGAUGACGUCAAAUCAUCAUGCCCCUUAUUGACCUGGGCUACACACGUGCUACAAUGGUUGGUACAACGAGUUGCGAGUCGGUGACGGCGAGCUAAUACUCUUAAAGCCAAUCUCAGUUCGGAUUGUAGGCUGCAACUCGCCUACAUGAAGUCGGAAUCGCUAGUAAUCGCGGAUCAGCACGCCGCGGUGAAUACGUUCCCGGGCCUU